CAACCAUUGGUGCGCCGGGGGAGGUUGUGUUGCCUUAGCAGUUGCGAUGCAGGAGCGUUGGCCUCAUCUGGGCAUCAAGGCUGGGUUCUACGACGAUCACGGCCGCAAGGCAAUCGAUCAUGCCUAUGCGCACGAUGGCAAGCGGGCCUACGAUAUCUUUGGCAAUGCCGAUGAGACUUAUGGCA
rnacentral:misc_RNA from 1 species